rnacentral:pre_miRNA from 4 species
ACAACCCUAGGAGAGGGUGCCAUUCACAUAGACUAUAAUUGAAUGGCGCCACUAGGGUUGUG